CCAGACUCCUACGGGAGGCAGCAGUGGGGAAUAUUGCACAAUGGGGGGAACCCUGAUGCAGCGACGCCGCGUGAAGGAAGAGGUAUCUCGGUAUGUAAACUUCUAUCAGCAGGGAAGAAAGAGGACGGUACCUGACUAAGAAGCCCCGGCUAACUACGUGCCAGCAGCCGCGGUAAUACGUAGGGGGCAAGCGUUAUCCGGAUUUACUGGGCGUAAAGGGAGCGUAGGCGGCCUGCCAAGUCUGAUGUGAAAUACCGGGGCUCAACCCCGGGGCUGCAUUGGAAACUGGCAGGCUGGGGUGCCGGAGAGGCAGGCGGAAUUCCUAGUGUAGCGGUGAAAUGCGUAGAUAUUAGGAGGAACACCAGUGGCGAAGGCGGCCUGCUGGACGGUGACUGACGCUGAGGCUCGAAAGCGUGGGGAGCAAACAGGAUUAGAUACCCGCGUAU
rnacentral:rRNA from 1 species